rnacentral:rRNA from 1 species
GCGUGAGAGACGCUCUCGCCGAAAGUCCAAGGGUUCCUGCGUAAAGUUAAUCUUCGCAGGGUUAGCCGGCUCCUAAGGCGAGGCCGAAAGGCGUAGUCGAUGGGAACGGGGUUAAUAUUCCCCGGCCAGCGGAUGGUGACGAAUCCCGUGUAUCGUACAGACUUAUCGGAUUGUCUGUGCGGUGAAGGGGUUCCAGGAAACAGCCCCGCGCACGACCGUACCCGAAACCGACACAGGUGGACUGGUAGAGUAUACCAAGGCGCUUGAGAGAACUCUGCUGAAGGAACUCGGCAAAUUGCCUCCGUAACUUCGGGAUAAGGAGGCCCCGGUCUUGGGCAACCAGGAUCGGGGGGCACAAGCCAGGGGGUGGCGACUGUUUAACAAAAACACAGGGCUCUGCGAAGUCAUGAAGACGACGUAUAGGGUCUGACGCCUGCCCGGUGCCGGAAGGUUAAGAGGAGAGGUGCAAGCUUUGAAUCGAAGCCCCGGUAAACGGCGGCCGUAACGAUAACGGUCCUAAGGUAGCGAAAUUCCUUGUCGGGUAAGUUCCGACCUGCACGAAGGGCGUAAGGACUUCCCCGCUGUCUCCAGCAGAGACUCAGUGAAAUUGAAUUCCCCGUGAAGAUGCGGGGUUCCUGCGGUUAGACGGAAAGACCCCGUGCACCUUUACUGCAACUUUGCGCUGGCAUUCGUGUCGGCAUGUGUAGGAUAGGUGGUAGGCAUUGAAGCGGGGGCGCCAGCCUUCGUGGAGCCAACCUUGAAAUACCACCCUUAUCGUCAUGGAUGUCUAACUGCGGUUCGACAGGAUCCAGGACAGCGCAUGGUGGGCAGUUUGACUGGGGCGGUCGCCUCCCAAAGAGUGACGGAGGCGCGCGAUGGUGGGCUCAGAGCGGUCGGAAAUCGCUCGUCGAGUGCAAUGGCAUAAGCCUGCCUGACUGCGAGACAGACAAGUCGAGCAGAGACGAAAGUCGGCCAUAGUGAUCCGGUGGUCCCGCGUGGAAGGGCCAUCGCUCAACGGAUAAAAGGUACGCCGGGGAUAACAGGCUGAUCUUCCCCAAGAGUCCAUAUCGACGGGAAGGUUUGGCACCUCGAUGUCGACUCAUCACAUCCUGGGGCUGGAGCAGGUCCCAAGGGUUCGGCUGUUCGCCGAUUAAAGUGGUACGUGAGUUGGGUUCAGAACGUCGUGAGACAGUUCGGUCCCUAUCUGCCGUGGGUGUUCGAGACUUGAGACGAUCUGUCCUUAGUACGAGAGGACCGGGAUGGACGCACCACUGGUGGACCUGUUGUCCUGCCAAGGGCAGUGCAGGGUAGCUAUGUGCGGACGGGAUAACCGCUGAAGGCAUCUAAGCGGGAAACCCACGUCAAAACAAGGUCUCACAAAAUAGAGCCGUGGUAGACGACCACGUCGAUAGGCCGGGUGUGUAAGGGCAGCAAUGUCUUCAGCUUACCGGUACUAAUAGCUCU